GAAUCAAAGCUAGGAACCUUGUAUAUAGUUACUAACAUGCUGGACGGACACAGUUUGAGUAUCUCCUUUACAGGACCAACUGGGUCAUCUAACUUCUCUAUCCUCUUGCAAUUUCGAAGAGCAAUAGCUGCAUCAUUCUCUGUUGAUGACCUAAGCAUCACAAUCCCAGGGCAGUCCAACAACUUUACAUUUUUAUCUAGCUGGACUUCUU
rnacentral:misc_RNA from 1 species